rnacentral:rRNA from 1 species
UACGGAGGGGGCUAGCGUUGUUCGGAAUUACUGGGCGUAAAGCGCGCGUAGGCGGACCUGCAAGUCGGGGGUGAAAGCCCGAGGCUCAACCUCGGAACUGCCUUCGAUACUGCGGGUCUCGAGUCCGGGAGAGGUGAGUGGAAUUCCUAGUGUAGAGGUGAAAUUCGUAGAUAUUAGGAAGAACACCAGUGGCGAAGGCGGCUCACCGGCCCGGUACUGACGCUGAGGCGCGAAAGCGUGGGGAGCAAACAGG